rnacentral:misc_RNA from 1 species
GAUGAAGAACGUAGCGAAAUGCGAUAAGUAAUGUGAAUUGCAGAAUUCAGUGAAUCAUCGAAUCUUUGAACGCACAUUGCGCCCGCCAGUAUUCUGGCGGGCAUGCCUGUCUGAGCGUCAUUUCAACCCUCAUGCCCCUAGGGCGUGGUGUUGGGGAUCGGCCAAAGCCCGCGAGGGACGGCCGGCCCCUAAAUCUAGUGGCGGACCCGUCGUGGCCUCCUCUGCGAAGUAGUGAUAUUCCGCAUCGGAGAGCGAUGAGCCCCUGCCGUUAACCCCCCAACUUUCCAAGGUUGACCUCAGAUCAGGUAGGAAUACCCGCUGAACUUAAGUAUAUCAAUAAGCGGAGGA